AGCUUGUUGGUGGGGUAAUGGCCUACCAAGGCGACGACGGGUAGCCGGCCUGAGAGGGCGACCGGCCACACUGGGACUGAGACACGGCCCAGACUCCUACGGGAGGCAGCAGUGGGGAAUAUUGCACAAUGGGCGAAAGCCUGAUGCAGCGACGCCGCGUGAGGGAUGACGGCCUUCGGGUUGUAAACCUCUUUCAGCAGGGAAGAAGCGACUGGGUUUUCCCGGACGUGACGGUACCUGCAGAAGAAGCGCCGGCUAACUACGUGCCAGCAGCCGCGGUAAUACGUAGGGCGCAAGCGUUGUCCGGAAUUAUUGGGCGUAAAGAGCUCGUAGGCGGCUUGUCACGUCGGAUGUGAAAGCCCGGGGCUUAACCCCGGGUCUGCAUUCGAUACGGGCAGGCUAGAGUGUGGUAGGGGAGAUCGGAAUUCCUGGUGUAGCGGUGAAAUGCGCAGAUAUCAGGAGGAACACCGGUGGCGAA
rnacentral:rRNA from 1 species